CAGUAUUCUGGCCAGUUUCUGGGGAGAAAUUGCGAGUGAGCUGAGCUGUGGGCCUUUGUGCAGGCGGGCAGCUCAUGACCGGAAUUAAGGGUCCCGGUUGCACGUGGUUCUGAGGGGAGGUCCAGAGGGGCUAAAGCUUAGGGAGGUUGAAGACCGGGAUAUAUUCUCCAACGCCAAGAAUUAACGCUCCUGGUUACAUGUGGUUCUGAGGGGAAGUCCAGAGGGGCUAAUUAAGGAGGUUGAAGACCGGGAUAUAUUCUCCAACACCAAGUAAGUUAACCCUUUAUUUGUGCAUGCAGGUGAGAUUUUCUUGCAACAUCAGUCAUUUAUGGAAAUCUGUCCUAUAAGCCACUUGUGAGGCUGAGGUUCCAACCUCAGAGCUUGCUAGGGUAAGCAACUCACAUGAAGGCAGUCCAGACAAAUUUUCACAAACACUGCAGAAGGCCUACUGGCCCAUGCAAGGCAGGUCCUUAUCAAAACCACCUCUCCCCAAAGCUACCCAAGA